rnacentral:rRNA from 1 species
AGGGUUUGAUUAUGGCUCAGGACGAACGCUGGCGGCGCGCCUAACACAUGCAAGUCGAACGAGCGAGAGAGAGCUUGCUUUCUCGAGCGAGUGGCGAACGGGUGAGUAACGCGUGAGGAACCUGCCUCAAAGAGGGGGACAACAGUUGGAAACGACUGCUAAUACCGCAUAAGCCCACGGGUCGGCAUCGACCAGAGGGAAAAGGAGCAAUCCGCUUUGAGAUGGCCUCGCGUCCGAUUAGCUAGUUGGUGAGGUAAUGGCCCACCAAGGCGACGAUCGGUAGCCGGACUGAGAGGUUGAACGGCCACAUUGGGACUGAGACACGGCCCAG